AUCCAGCUGACGAGUACCAAAUAGGACGAAAUGCGCAUCCUGGAU
rnacentral:hammerhead_ribozyme from 1 species